ensembl:lncRNA
CAGCGCUCAGUGACUGCAGUGGAUUGUGGGUCAGGCCUGCGUUCUCAGAGAAAGAGAGGAACGAGGAGACGAGAGAAGCUCAAAUGAAGCAGAUUCUCAAUCUGAAUCACAGUCAGUGUGAAUCCAAUCAGAUCAGAGUGAAGCAGAAGCAGAGCCACGCCCCCACAGACACACGGACCAAUCACAGCUCCAGCGCAGAGAGUGGGCUGGGCAGGGGCGGGGCUUCUGGAGUGUGGUAUAGUAGUGAUUCAGAGAAAGCCCCGCCCAUCAUACAUGAAGCUCCGCCCAGCAGGACGAGAGUUUCCUCUCUAAAUGAAGACAGACAGAGUGAGCUCCAGCAUUACGUGUCAAAGCUGCUGGAACGUUCCCCCGGCGACCCUCUGGACGAGCCAAUCAGAGAGCACAAACGUGAGACUGAGCGUCACAUGAGCGACCCGCGAGCAAACCUGGAGCACAAACCAGCUCAAGAGGUGUGUGUGUCUCGAAGCGUCCAGAGCAGAAGAUCCGUGGGCCGCAGAGGAGGAUCUCAGAGAGUCUGGAGAUGAAACUGUUAUUUAUGUGCUGAUAUUUUAUAUUUGAAAUAAAAACUCAUCCGUC